GUAGGUGGCAAGCGUUGUCCGGAAUUAUUGGGCGUAAAGCGCGCGCAGGCGGUCCUUUAAGUCUGAUGUGAAAGCCCACGGCUCAACCGUGGAGGGUCAUUGGAAACUGGGGGACUUGAGUACAGAAGAGGAAAGCGGAAUUCCAAGUGUAGCGGUGAAAUGCGUAGAGAUUUGGAGGAACACCAGUGGCGGAGGCGGCUUUCUGGUCUGUAACUGACGCUGAGGCGCGAAAGCGUGGGGAGCAAACAGGGAUUAGAUACCCUGGUAGUCCACGCCGUAAACGAUGAGUGCUAAGUGUUAGGGGGUUUCCGCCCCCUUAGUGCUGCAGCUAACGCAUUAAGCACUCCGCCUGGGGAGUACGGCCGCAAGGCUG
rnacentral:rRNA from 1 species